rnacentral:rRNA from 1 species
AGCAGCCGCGGUAAUUCCAGCUCCAAUAGCGUAUAUUAAAGUUGUUGCAGUUAAAAAGCUCGUAGUUGAACUUCGGGGUUUACUCAUUGGUCAGGCUUAAUUGUCUGUACUGGUGAGAUGAAUCUCUACCUUCUGAGGAACUUUCAUGCCAUUUAUUUGGUGUGAUUGGAAAUCAGGACUGUUACUUUGAAAAAUUAGAGUGUUUAAAGCAGGCUAACGUCUGAAUACAUUAGCAUGGAAUAAUGAAAUAGGACGGAUUGAUUCUAUUUCGUUGGUUUCUAGGGUCACCGUAAUGAUUAAUAGGGAUAGUUGGGGGCAUUAGUAUUCAAUUGUCAGAGGUGAAAUUCUUGGAUUUAUUGAAGACUAACUACUGCGAAAGCAUUUGCCAAGGAUGUUUUCAUUAAUCAAGAACGAAAGUUAGGGGAUCGAAGACGAUCAGAUACCGUCGUAGUCUUAACCAUAAACUAUGCCGACUAGGGAUCGGAC